rnacentral:rRNA from 1 species
UGGCGGUGUUUUAGACUUCUUAGGGGAGCUUGUUUCGUAAUCGACAAUCCACGAUAGACCUAACCUUUUUUUGUAUCCAGUAUGUAUACCGUUGUCGUCAGGUAACUUUUAAAAAUAUAAAAGCUAGCAAAUAAGUUUUUAACUUGUACGUCAAAUCAAGGUGCAACCCAUAAAAAGGAGAGAAUGAGCUACAAUUAAAAGUUAUAAUACGAAUAAAACACAUAAAAAGAAUUUGAAGGAGGACUUAAAAGUAAAAAAAUAAUCAUAAAAACUUUUUGAAUCUAGCUCUGAAACGUGCACACACCGCCCGUCAC